UACGUAGGGUGCGAGCGUUAAUCGGAAUUACUGGGCGUAAAGCGUGCGCAGGCGGUUUUGUAAGCCAGAUGUGAAAUCCCCGGGCUUAACCUGGGAAUGGCAUUUGGGACUGCAAGGCUCGAGUGCGGCAGAGGAGACUGGAAUUCCUGGUGUAGCAGUGAAAUGCGUAGAUAUCAGGAGGAACACCGAUGGCGAAGGCAGGUCUCUGGGCCGAUACUGACGCUGAGGAGCGAAAGCGUGGGGAGCGAACAGG
rnacentral:rRNA from 1 species